rnacentral:rRNA from 1 species
AGCGGAGGAAAAGAAACUAACAAGGAUUCCCCUAGUAACGGCGAGUGAAGAGGGAAAAGCUCAAAUUUAAAAUCUGGCGGUCUACGGCCGUCCGAGUUGUAAUCUAGAGAAGUGUUUUCCGCGCUGGACCGUGUACAAGUCCUUUGGAACAAGGCGUCAUAGAGGGUGAGAAUCCCGUCUACGACACGGACUGCCAAGCGCUUUGUGAUACACUCUCAACGAGUCGAGUUGUUUGGGAAUGCAGCUCAAAAUGGGUGGUAAAUUCCAUCUAAAGCUAAAUAUUGGCGAAAGACCGAUAGCGAACAAGUACCGUGAGGGAAAGAUGAAAAGCACUUUGGAAAGAGAGUUAAACAGUACGUGAAAUUGUUGAAAGGGAAACGCUUGAAGUCAGUCGCGUCUUCAGAAAUUCAGCUGGGCUUCUGCCUAGUGUACUUUUCUGUGGGACGGGCCAGCAUCAGUUUUGGCUGCCAGAAAAAGGUCGGAGGAAGGUGGCACCUCCGGGUGUGUUAUAGCCUCUGAUCGUAUGUGGCAGCCGGGAUUGAGGACCGCAGCACGCCUUUAUGGCCGGGGUUCGCCCACGUAACGUGCUUAGGAUGCUGGCGUAAUGGCUUUAAACGACCCGUCUUGAAACACGGACCAAGGAGUCUAACAUGCCUGCGAGUAUUUGGGUGGCAAACCCAUAUGCGGAAUGAAAGUGAACAGUUGGGACUUCUGUCAUGGAAGGCACCGACGCCCGGACCAGACCUAUUGUGACGGAUCCGAGGUAGAGCAUGUAUGUUGGGACCCGAAAGAUGGUGAACUAUGCCUGAGUAGGGUGAAGCCAGAGGAAACUCUGGUGGAGGCUCGUAGCGAUUCUGACGUGCAAAUCGAUCGUCGAACUUGGGUAUAGGGGCGAAAGACUAAUCGAAC